UGUCCUGGAGGCUGCACAGGAAAAUGAACAAAAUACCUUGGCUGGAGACCCUGUGCCUAUGAGACCAGUGGAUGAACAAGUAGCAGAAUGAAGUUCUCAGUGCUAGGUCUGGACCUGAGGCCACG